AAUAUUGCGCAAUGGAGGAAACUCUGACGCAGCGACGCCGCGUGAGCGAUGAAGGUCUNCGGAUCNUNAAGCUCUGUCCUUGGGGNCGAAGGUCUUCGGACCUGACGGUACCCAUGGAGGAAGCCCCGGCUAACUACGUGCCAGCAGCCGCGGUAAUAGGUAGGGGGCAAGCGUGGGCCGGAAUUAUUGGGCGUAAAGGGUGCGUAGGCGGCCUUUUAAGUCAGAUGUGGAAGCCCACGGCUAAACCGUGGGAUUGCAUUUGAAACUGGAGGGCUUGAGUAUCGGAGAGGGUAGUGGAAUUCCCAGUGUAGCGGUGAAAUGCGUAGAUAUUGGGAGGAACACCAGUGGCGAAGGCGACUACCUGGACGAUUACUGACGCUGAUGCACGAAAGCUAGGGGAGCAAACA
rnacentral:rRNA from 1 species